AGCCACAGCCAUAUCCCCCCUGCAGCCCGAGACUGAUAACUCAAUGAAGCUAAGCAGGGCUGAGCCUGGUCACUACCUGGAUAGGAGACCAAAUGUGAAAACUAGGUUGCUGUUGGAA
ensembl:rRNA 5S_rRNA 5S ribosomal RNA